GUGGGUUAUGGGGUCUUACAGGGUGUGGGGGGUUAUGGGGCCUUAUGGGGGUUAUGGGGCUUUAUGGGGCUUUAUGGGGGUUAUGGGGCGCUGUGGAUACAUUGUGGGGUGUUGUGAAGGCGGUGUGGGGCGCUGUGGGUCCCUAUGGGGUUCCUAUGGGGUCCCCGUGGGGUCUCUGCGCUUCAUAGGGGUUCCUGUGGGGUCUCUGUGGGGUCUCUAUGGGGUCUCUAUGAUGUUUAUGGGUGUUUGCGGGUUCCUAUGGGUCACUAUGGGGUUUCUAUGGUCCUUAUGGGUCUCUAUGGGUUGCUGUGGGUCCCUAUGGGGUCCCUAUGGGGCCAUGCGGUCUGUAUUGGGUCUGUACGGGGUCUGUAUGGGAUCUCUAUGAUGUUUAUGGGUCUCUGUGGGUCGCUAUGGGUCCGUAUGGCCUCUGUGGGUCCCUGUGGGUCCCUAUGGGGUCAUAUAGUCCGUAUGGGGUCUUUAUGGGGUCUCUAUGGGUGUCUAUGGGUCCCUAUGGGUCGCUGUGGGGUCUCUAUGGUUGCUAUGGGGUUUCUAUGGUUGCUAUGGGGUCUCUAUGGUUGCUAUGGGUCUCUAUGGGUUGUUGUGGGUCCCUAUAGCGUCUGUGGGUUCCUAUGGGCCCUAUGGGGUCCCUAUGGGUCCAUAUAGUCUGUAUGGGGUCUGUAUGGGAUCUUUAUGAUGUUUAUGAGUGUUUAUGGGUCCCUAUGGGUCGCUAUGGGGUCUCUAUGGUUCCUAUGGGGUUCUAUGGGUCGCUAUGGGUCCUUAUGGUGUUCGUGGGCCCCUAUGGGUCCCUAUGGGGCCAUGUAGUCUGUAUGGGGUGGUUGUCACGUUUAUGGGUCGCUAUGGGGUUUCUGUGUUUGCUAUGGGUUUGUGUGUGUUGCUAUGGGCCCGUAUGGUCCCUGUGGGUCCGUGUGGGUCCCUAUGGGUCCCUGUGGGUCCCUAUGGGUCACUGUGGGUCGCUAUGGGUCACUGUGGGGUGGCUAUGGGGUGGCUAUGGGGUCAUGUGGUCUGUAUGGGGUCUCUAUGGGGUCUCUGGUAUUUAUGGGUCCUUAUGAGGUGUCUAUGUUCCCUAUGGGGUCUGUAUGGUUCCUAUGGGGUCUGUAUGUGUUGCUGUGGGUCUGUAUGUGUUGCUAUGGGUCCGUGUGUGUCCGUGUGGGUCGCUAUGGGUCCCUGUGGGGUCGCUAUGGGUCCCUGUGGGGUCGCUAUGGGUCACUGUGGGGUGGCUAUGGGGCCAUGUGGUCUGUAUGGGGUCUCUAUGGGGUCUCUGGUAUUUAUGGGUCCUUAUGAGGUCUGUAUGUUCUCUAUGGGGUCUGUAUGUGUUGCUAUGGGUCUGUAUGUGUUGCUAUGGGUCCGUGUGGGUCCCUGUGGGUCCCUAUGGGUCACUGUGGGGUCGCUAUGGGUCGCUAUGGAGUGGCUAUGGGGUGGCUAUGGGGCCAUGCGGUCUGUAUGGGGUCUCUAUGGGGUCUCUGAUGUUUAUGUGUCCUUAUGAGGUGUGUAUGUUCCCUAUGGGGUCUGUAUGGUUUCUAUGGGGUCUGUAUGUGUUGCUAUGGGUCUGUAUGUUUGCUAUGGGCCCGUAUGGUCCCUGUGGGUCCGUGUGGGUCCCUAUGGGGUCGCUAUGGGGUGGCUAUGGGGUGGCUGUGGGGUUUUUGUCUCCGCAGACGGACGCGAUGACGUCGGACGACUUCGAUAUCGUCAUCGAGGCGAUGCUGGAGGCGCCCUACAAGAAGGAGGAGGCGCAGCCCGGACCCUCAAAGCCACCGACGGAAACUGCGCCCCCUCAGCAGCCGCCCGAGGAGCACAGCAAGGAGCCCAAAAAGGAGAGCGGGGGCAGCAGCAGGUGGGCAAUGGGGGGCAAUAUGGGGGGAUAUGGGGGAUUUGGG
ensembl:lncRNA